CACACACACACACACACACACACAGAAACAUACAAUGCAUCCUUACUCACACAUAGACACACCCGAAACACACAAUGCAUCCCUUACGCUCACACAAACACUCAUUCUCUUACACACAGAAACAAAAUGCAUCUCUUACACACUCAAUGCACCCCUUACAGACACACACUGCAUUCAAUUACAUACACAGAAACACACCUUGCAUCCCUUACACACACACACACACACACACACCCAGAAACAUACAAUGCAUUCCUUAUACGCAAACACACACUGCAUCCACUAUACACACACUACAUCCCUUACACAAAUUGGUAUUCCUAUACACUACAUUCUAUAAGGACACACACACAUUGCAUCCUCUACAAUAACACAUAAAACAUCCCCUACACACAUACACUCCAC